AACGAACGCUGGCGGCGUGGAUAAGACAUGCAGGUCGAGCGGGAACUUUCGCUGUAGCAAUACAGUGAAGUUCUAGCGGCGAACGGGUGCGUAACACGUGGACAAUCUGCCUUAAAGUGGGGGAUAGCUCGGCGAAGCCGAAUUAAUACCGCAAUGUGAUGAGAGACGACAUCGUCUUGAAAUCAAAGCCGGGGCAACCUGGCGCUUUUUGAGGAGUCCGCGGCCAUCAGCUAGUUGGUGAGGUAACGG
rnacentral:rRNA from 1 species